UAUAUUUUUUUCCCUUCAUGUCACGAAUAGGUUUAUUAAUACUUAAAAAAAAAUAUAAUUAGAAAACAUCCAUCUCGAUCAUUCGACUUCUGCUCUCAGCCUCUCUCAGACAUUCCAGUCUCUCUCUCCGUUCUUCCUACUCUCUCCAUAUUCACCAUGACCGAUUAACCUGGAUCGACUGAAUCGUAUCGAAGACGUUUGAUCACGACAAGGAGCCUGUGAAUCACCUCGUGGUGAAAGAAGCCAUCGACCAUGGAGAAGCUCCAGCGACAAAACAAUCAGGCUGAUUCGAUGCUAAAGGAGGAGGUUCAGUAUCUUCGUGUUGCAAUGGGACAUGACGAUAAAUCCCUCGAUGAAUUUGUUGAAAUACAAAAGACAUGCGUGAAUGAUUUCAUGUUUUUUUUUCUUAGCGCAAUGCUUAUGGUGCAUCAAGUAUUGCUGGAAAUGAGAAGAAACUUGGGGCUCUGCAGAAUGUGUUUGAGAAUGUGAGGAAGAAGUUGGAUGAUGAUCUUGGGAAGGCAGCGAGCCUUGAAGAAAAGGUCAAGGUCUGAACACAUGGUUAUGAGGUACACUACUCAAUCCAAUCAUGCUUCCCAAAUAUUCUCUUAUUAAUUGGCAAUGGGGGCUGUAGUGGAGUUAUACCUGACCUAGAUCCUGGAAUACUAGUGGAGGAAAGAGGUGUUCAUUUGGAGGUACAAGCAAUGAGAGAACAACAUGAGGCUGAUAUUGAAACGAUUUGAAGGAGAGCCAAGAACAGGAAGAUAAACCUAGGGAGGAAAUGAAGAAACAAACUCUGGCCACAACAGUUUAGCUUCAUAGGCAAGUAUCAUUAUUUAGGUUCUGUCUCCUAAUUACUUAGGUAUCAUAUUAUCUGGGAUUGCUUUAAUGUAAUAUGAAGUAUUGAAUGAUGUAAUGUUUUAAUCCUUCAGUCCAAUAGCAUUAAAAAUUUCUUUA